rnacentral:rRNA from 1 species
GGCGGACGGGUGAGUAAUGCCUAGGAAUCUGCCUGGUAGUGGGGGACAACGUUUCGAAAGGAACGCUAAUACCGCAUACGUCCUACGGGAGAAAGCAGGGGACCUUCGGGCCUUGCGCUAUCAGAUGAGCCUAGGUCGGAUUAGCUAGUAGGUGAGGUAAUGGCUCACCUAGGCGACGAUCCGUAACUGGUCUGAGAGGAUGAUCAGUCACACUGGAACUGAGACACGGUCCAGACUCCUACGGGAGGCAGCAGUGGGGAAUAUUGGACAAUGGGCGAAAGCCUGAUCCAGCCAUGCCGCGUGUGUGAAGAAGGUCUUCGGAUUGUAAAGCACUUUAAGUUGGGAGGAAGGGCAGUAAGUUAAUACCUUGCUGUUUUGACGUUACCAACAGAAUAAGCACCGGCUAACUUCGUGCCAGCAGCCGCGGUAAUAA